rnacentral:lncRNA from 1 species
UUGGUAUUUCGAAUAUUUUUGCUAUGCUUAGGUCUAGUUCUUUUCCUUUUAUUUGUUCAAAUAUACUAUUAUCAAAUAUUAUCUUUUGUUCUAAAGAUUCUUCGUCUUGAUGUUCUUCUCUAGUUAUUAUUUGUAUAUCAGUUUCAGUCAUUUGUUAUAUUAUAGAAUUCAUUAUCUGAUUCUAUCUCUAUAUCAUUAUUCAUUUCAUUUUCUGAUAUUUCAUAUAUACUAUCUUCACUUUCUAAUUCAUAAUCUAUGUACUCUAGCUGUGUAUAUUUUUCAUCGUUUAUUAUUAAUUCUGAUAUUUGUUUUUUCUUUGGAUUUUUAGGUAAUUUACAAUCUCUAGCUAUGUGUCCUAACUUUCGACAAUUAUAACAAGUACAUUCCGUUAGUUUUCUUUUUGGUCUAUAUGGUCUUUUGGUUUUGUAGUUUUUUACAUAAUAUCUUCUUCUUGGUUUUUUAUAUUUAUAUUUUGAUCUGUAUUUUUUAUUAUAUUUCUUUCUAUUUUUAUAAUACUUAUCCGUACAACCAAAUUGAGGUGCUGUUUUAUUUUUGCAACAUGCCAAGUUUUUUACUAAUAUUUUUUCCAUUUUUAUUUCUUCUUUAUGUUUUUCACAUAGUUCCAUAAACCAUCGUUGCAAGAAUUUUAUUCUAGCUCCUAAGGUGUCUGUUAAUUCUGCUUCAUUCCAACUUUUUAUUACUUUUGAAUUAAAAGGUUCCGGUAAUUUUGUAAAAUAUAAUUUUCUUAUUUCUUUACUUUCUUCUAUGUUAUAUGUUCCUUUAUAAUAAUAUUCUCUAAAUGCACAUGUAUAUUCAUCUAUAUAACACAUAUUACAUAUUGCUAAUUUUGUCAUUAGAUUUCGGUUUAUGAUUUUUUCUUUAUUUUGUUCUUCUACUUCUGUUGUCAUACUACUAAAUUCAUUUCUUAUAGCUACUUCAUACUUAUAUAAUAUUUCCGUAGUUGUAGUAGCUAAUUCGCCACUAGAUUUUUUAUUACUUCUUAACGUUUUUAAACUUUCAUCGGAUAAAUUUUGUAGCCAUAAUUUUACUGUUCCUAUAAGCGUUCUUUCUAUAUAUCCUGGUGCCUCUGUCAUUACUAUUUUGUUAUCUAUUAAUUGUUUUGAUAUAUAUCCUAUCCAUAAUUGGAUUGUUUUAUUUAUAUCUGCUACACAGUCUAAAUCUAAAAAAUCAUGUUGUCCAGUUAUUGGUUUAGGCGUCCAUUUUUUAUUUAAUUUUUUAUCCCAUGUAGUCCUUUCUCUAUUAUAUUGUUCAUAGUUUUCAUUAUAAUAUUUUGGAUUAAAAUUUUUUGGGUUUUUUACUCCUGAUGUGCUAGGUUUUUCAUCCAUGUCUACAUCUCCUGUAUUUAUUUCUAAAUUCUUUGUAUUAUCUAUGUUUGCUAAAAGUUCCGUAUAUGUUUCGCUUGUUUCCGAAUGUUGUUCUAGAUCAUCGUCGUUUAUUUCAUCAAUUCUUAUUUCGGGUAGAUUAUCUUGGCUAUUUUCUCCCUUUUCUUCCAUUUCGUCUUCUAAUUGUAAUUUUUCUUUAAAUUUAAUUAUCUCAUUUGCUAAUUUUGUUUUUUGUUCUUUUUCUCUUUGUUUAAUUUCAUACAUUUCUUUUAAUAUUGCUAGCUCUUUUUCUAGCUCUAUUAUUUUAGUAUUUUUUACUUCUUCUAAUUGUUGUACUUCCUUUUUUACUUGUUGUUUUAUUUUUUCAAUUUCCGUUUUUCUAUCUAUUUCUUCAUUUUCUUUUGUUAUUCUUAUCAUAGCAGUUAAACUAUCUUCUAGUUUUACCGUUUCUUUUUCUAACAUUAAACUUAGAUUAUCACCUAUUUUCUUAUAUCUUCUUCCUAGAUUAGAAAAUAUUAUCUUUAUUUUUAAUCCGUCAUAGUUUUCAUAUGUUUUUUCAUCUAUUGCAUAUUCUUCUUUAUUCAUUUAUAAGUUGUGUUGUAGUUUAUAUUCUAAGCUUUCUAUUUGUAUUUGUAGAUAUAAAAUAGUUUUCCUCUGUGCUGUUAUAGAUUUUUUACAAAUUCCUGCAAAUAUAUUACUAUUAAGUCUAUUUUGCCUAUGUCUCAAUUCUUGUCUUUUUGCUAUAAUUAUUUCGUUAAGUUUUUGUCUAUAUUCUUCAUUCUCGUUAUUCAUUGUUUCUUUAAGUAUUGAAUAUAUUUAUAUUCUAUUUUAGAUAUAUUAACUAUUAAUUGAUCUAAUUUGUCGUUAUCAGUUUUUGUGAUAUUGAGUUUUUUAUAUUCCGGUGAUGUGGUUUUAUAUCAUCUUCCAUUGAUUUUUGUGGGGUUUUAUCUAUUCUUCUUGAGGUACUCAUUUUUUAUGAGAUUUGUGGUAUUUCACAGUUCGUGUUUAUUCUUUUUGAUGUGCUUAAUCUUUCUUUUACUAUUUCUAAAUCUUCUUCUAUAUCAAUCUCAUUAUAACUGUAAUCAUUUUUAUCUAUGACUGUGACUAUUCUUUCAAAAGGAUUUUCUAUUUUUAUUUAUUUUAUUUUAUUUUUUGCUGUUAUUUUAUGUUUUGUUGUUAAAACAUAUAAGUUUUUACAUCUGGCUGUAAAUAUUUUACUUCCCGGGGCUAGUUCUAUUCCUGACAUUUUCCAAUAUAAUACUAAUGAUUUAUCUAUAUUUCUGUCAUUUAUUGCUACUGAGUAGUUAGCACUUAUUAUAAAUUUGAAUUUUUGGUAUAUGAGGUUACCUUUUACUGCACUUAUUAUACUUUUUUCUAUGGGUUGUAUGAUUCUAUCAUCCGCUAAGUAUAUUUCUAUGGGUGUAUCUAUUCCUUCUCUAAAACAUGCUUUUAUUAGUAUUUCUGUUCCUCCUAAAUGUACAUAUUUAAUUGGAUUUUUAGCCUUAAUAUCUUGUAUUUCUUUAUUUAUUAUUCGUUUAUUUAUUAUUGGUAUUUUGGCCUUACCUUUAGUGUAUUUGCAAUCUAUGAUAUGUUCUCUUUGACUUACUACAUAAUAUUCUUCUUUUUGUCGUUUAAACCAGUUUUUUAUUGUUGGUAUUUCGAAUAUUUUUGCUAUGCUUAGGUCUAGUUCUUUUCCUUUUAUUUGUUCAAAUAUAUUAUUAUCAAAUAUUAUUUUUUGUUCUGAAGAUUCUUCGUCUUGAUGUUUUUCUUUAUUUAUUAUUUGUAUAUCUGUUUCAGUCAUUUGUUAUAUUAUAAAAUUCAUUAUCUGAUUCUAUUUCUAUAUCGUUAUUUAUUUCAUUUUCUGAUAUUUCAUAUAUAC